GCGAAGAACCUUACCUGGCCUUGACAUGUAACGAACUUUCCAGAGAUGGAUUGGUGCUCGAAAGAGAACGUUAACACAGGUGCUGCAUGGCUGUCGUCAGCUCGUGUCGUGAGAUGUUGGGUUAAGUCCCGCAACGAGCGCAACCCUUGCCAUUAAUUGCCAUCAUUUAGUUGGGCACUUUAAUGGGAUUGCCGGUGACAAACCGGAGGAAGGUGGGGAUGACGUCAAGUCCUCAUGGCCCUUAUGGCCAGGGCUUCACACGUAAUACAAUGGUCGGUACAGAGGGUUGCCAACCCGCGAGGGGGAGCCAAUCCCAGAAAGCCGAUCGUAGUCCGGAUUGUAGUCUGCAACUCGACUACAUGAAGUCGGAAUCGCUAGUAAUCGCGGAUCAGCAUGUCGCGGUGAAUACGUUCCCGGGUCUUGUACACACCGA
rnacentral:rRNA from 1 species